rnacentral:lncRNA from 1 species
UGUUAAACAUGUUUGCCUACCUUGCUACCUGAAAUCUCAUUUUAAAUUGAAAUCAUCUACAAAUAAAUAAUUAAUAAAUAAAUAUGCCAGCUAAUGCAUUAAAUUUAUCGCUCCACAAAGCAAGAAAUGCCUGUGACUGUAAGUAUUUAGCAAACAACAACAACAACAAAAACCAGAAAAACACCCCACAAACAAACCAAAAACCAUUCCUUGGAGUUAUAUAUAUCAGCCAUAGAACAGCAGAGCCCGGUAACUGACAUCCAUAACGUUUGGAAUUUGCAGGCACAUAGCAACAAUGCAUGAACACAGGGAAAAAAGACCGAACCAGGAUGAAAAUUUUGAAUACACAAAGGGGAGAAGUCGGUUACAGCCCCUGAAUUUUAGCCUUGUACAACACUUCUCCAAUUGGUUCCACUGUGUGUUCCGUCUCUGCCAUGCAGUUAGAGGAAAGGUAUCAGAGGACAAAAGAACAAAAAAAGUGGGGGGGAAGAAGAGAGACAUUUGUCUCCCCAGGCAGAAAGCAACUGGGAAGAUUUCAUUCCAAAACUUCAUGCCCUUGGUGCUUGGGAUACAUCCCACCUUAGCAAUUCCUCCUCUCCUACCAGAUUCCAGAAGAAGCUUCAACAAAAUUGCAGAUACCAAUGACUUACAAAGACUGUAAAAAGCACAACAUGUGAGAAAGAAGAAAACGAUCACACAAAUACUCCAUAGGUUCUCUGCUCUCAUUUCCAUCUUUUGAAUGAUUUCUAACAAGAUUUAGAUCAUUCAAGUUUGCUGGUGAAAAGUUUCGGACUUUCAAGGCAUUUAAAAGUGCAAAUAUUUAAGAAUUGCUGUAUCAAAUUAUUGCGAGUGCAAAGAAGCUUCAUUAGACUUAGCAAUGUGCAAUUAUUUCUCCAAGUGUGACUUAUAAAUUAAGAACAAAAAUACAAAAGAUGUAUCCUUAUACUUGGCUGGUUUUGUUUUUUUUCCCAAAUUCUGAUCAAAGCUGUAACACAGGUUUCAAGGUUUUUAAGAUUUUUAUGUGUUCAUUUUUC